GGGGGUUUAGCUCAGCGGCAUAAGCGCCUGCCUUGCAAGCAGGCAGUCGUGAGUUCGAUCCCCGUUACCGAUA
rnacentral:tRNA from 1 species